GCCGAGGUGGUGGAACUGGUAGACACGCUACUUUGAGGGGGUAGUGAGGGUUUCCUCGUGCGGGUUCAAGUCCCGCCCUCGGCA
rnacentral:tRNA from 1 species